CAUGGAUACAUUGCCCAGGGACUGAGUGAUGGGGGAUCUCCAGCAUGAAAAAAAUUUUAAAGCAUUGGCAUGGGGGGCUCUUGCGGAAGCAUCAGAUUGCAGGUGUCAAGGAGGCAUAUGACUAGAACACAAGGUAAUAUAUAGGCAGGAACAGUAGCAACCAGAAGCCAGGGAGAAAAGCAGUCAGACCAGCCAUAGAGAGCAGCCAUCUACAGCCAAUUGUCAGGAGCCAGCCACAGGGAGCUGCCGCAGCAUUCUACGACCGAAAACACUCACUACCCUGUAGUGAGGCUUCCUGCCAUCUGUUGAUAACAGUUUUCCUCUGGCAUUUCAAGCCCCUCGCAGUCUGGCUCCAGCCUAUCUUUCCAAGCCUAUUCUCCCUCUCACAUAUGUGAUAGUCCCAGUAUGCGACAUUCCACCUCUGUGAUGAAAAUACAUUUUUUAAAAUUACAAAGUAAGUUUGUGGGUAGGGGAGGUACUAAUAACUGGGGGAAGUCAGGAAGGACUUUGGAUUCUGAAGGGAGCUAGGAAUUGCAAGAAGCAG
rnacentral:lncRNA from 1 species